CUGGAAAACACUUAAUAAAGCACAAGCAAGCAAAUGAGUCCGCAGGCAAGGCGGAAAACGAGUUCAUGAAAGGAGUUGACGAUGUGUUUUGUCAGGGAUCCCCUCGCGAGUCUGACAAACACCCAGCAGUUUCCUCGCCUCGAUUUCCGGCUCACGAGGGUGAAGACGCAGCACGUUGGUGGGAAUAAGAUGACUGGCAGUGUAGAUAAAUAGCCCCUGCACUUCUCACCAACCCUUCAACGGAAAUUACAGAGGGUGAAAUGGAGGCUCGCCGUUUAGCUGAAAUGCCACGUCGGUGUUUGGAGCCCGUGGGGCACAGAGAGGACGAGGCGAGUUGGGGGUUUGUGCCCUGCUUUCAGGAGGAUGUAGGUGGUGAAACAGCAUCAUGUGCCCAACCCGACGACUGCAAAUGGCUCCAAUGUCUUGCGUCCCAAUUAUACUCCAGAAGGUGGUGGCAUCCACUUUGUGAUAGCUUGUCUGCCAACAAGCCCGGGGAAGACAACGUUUUCUUGCCAACUUUGACUCAACCUACCUCCUACAAUAUCUCCUACGAAAUCUGUGCAUUGCAGUUGUGCUGUGAGAUUCAUAUCAUCUCUGUACAGAGCACGAGAAAAACAACAGAGACUGAAAGAGCUUUCCAAGCCAUAUGUACUGUAGGCAUGGAUGGAGAGCCUUUAUAUGCCAUAUACUAUAUGCUGUAGGCAUGGAUAAAUUUGCUUCCGUUAGUUAGAAAUCACCUUUGGAAGACCUCGUGGUAGCUGUCAGGUCGGGACAUGAAGGAAUGAUAAUCCA